UAGGAUAUGGUAUAUAGGUAGCACGAAGAAUUUUGAAUUCUUAGGUAUAGGUUCAAUUCCUAUUAUUCUAG
rnacentral:tRNA from 2 species